CUCAGGCUACAGCCUUACACCCAGUCGUCAGUGGUGAAUCGCCCCUGCCCCAAGUUAACCUACAAGUUUUUCGGUCCAUUCCAGAUUCUGCAGCGCAUUGGGGCACUGGCGUACAAGCUGCGGCUACCUGACGACAGUCUCAUUCAUCCAGUCUUCCACGUCUCCCAAUUGAAGCCCUAUACACCUGAUUAUACACCAGUGUUCUCCGAGCUGCCCCGUGUACCAGACCUCACGGCUGUUUCGUUGCAACCCAUCGCCAUCCUCGAUCGGCGCAUGGUGAAGAAAGGCAAUAGCUCUAUCGUGCAAGUGAAGGUACAAUGGUCCUCGCUCUCCCCGGACAUGGCCACUUGGGAAGAUUACUCGGUGCUUCGCCAUCGCUAUCCGAAAGCACUCUGCUAG
rnacentral:rRNA from 1 species